rnacentral:misc_RNA from 1 species
UUUCGGUAGUUUACUACCGUUUGAAGGGGGUGGAAACCUUGAAAGAGGGAGUACAUUCUGUUCUUAACCCUUGGCUUUUUGCGUACUCAUGUUCCCUCGGUAGGCUUGCCUGCCGAUUGGACAAUCAAACCCCUUGCGUUAUACAUGAAAAUUUCUGAUACCAACCAAAAUUAUUACAACUUUUAACAAUGGAUCUCUUGGUUCU